rnacentral:lncRNA from 1 species
CUGCUUCACAGUUCCGGGAGGAACAAACACACAUGGCUCAGCAGGUUAAUGACUGAAGUAGAUGGUAUGUGCUGUCUACCAGGCUGCCAAGAGAUCUCUUCCUGAGAACAACAGGAGAAACUGCUCCCAACAGUGCUGAAAGGUGCUGAGAUCUGUGAGGCACGCUGCACUAUCUGCCUCUGCAGAGCAAAGAGGUCUACUGAGUACAGGGGAAUGGGUUGAUUUCCUCCAUGGAGCUGUGCGUCUUUCCCUAUAGCAAUGCUGGCUAACUGCAAGGUGGCGGUCUGGCUCUCUGGGGCCUUUUUGUAGUUUAUGGGAAACCGGCUCCACUCAUUGCUGUGUAGCAACCACAGGAAGUAAAAUGGGGCUGUGUGCAGAGCUGGUUCUUCUAGUAGCCUCUCCAGUGGAGGUGGGAAGGUAAGGACAAUGUGACCAGGUAAUAGCAGCAGCUUCACAUUCAGACGGGAGAGACAUUGU